CCGGGCACGGAAGCACACACAGCCUCUGCCAAAAGACGUCGAUGACGGGAGCAAAUGGGAAGACGCAAUAGGAGGUGGUGUGGAGUCCCCUCACUCAGAGGGAUGAGGGGUCAGAGGUGAGCAAAAGACAAGAAGAAUCAGGCUUCCCAAAAGAGGAGUCACGUAGGCACAUUCUUUACCAGCUGAGCCAUCAGGGAAACCCGAGAGACGGAACCACUUAAGAAGUCAGGGGCCGUCUUGGUGAGAGUGAUGCGAACUGCCUUGACAAAGACGCCGCAGAAUUUUGUCAACUUAUCGCAGCCGCAGCUGACUCCUCGUUUCAAUUACUCAUCCGUUCCAGGUGUUCCUGCUUGGGGAGAUUUCUUCCAAGUGGGCCUAACUGUAGAGCACAGAAAACUACAUUCAAUAGCCUGUAAUAACCUGUGAGUGGAAAAGAAUCUGAAAAAGCGUGUAUGUGUAACUGAAGCACUCUGCUCACGCUAGAAGCUAACCCAACGAUGUGAAUCUACCAUGUAAGUGCAGUGAAAAUGCAAGUGUCGGUCGCUCAGUCGUGUCCGACGCUCAGUCGUGUCCGACGCUUUGCGACCCCGUGGACUGUAGCCCCGCCGGGCUCCUCUGUCCGUGGAAUUCUCCAGGCAAGAAUGCCUGGAGGAGGGAGUGUCAUUCCCUCCUCCAGGGAUCCCUCAUCCUGAUCCAGGGAGAGAACCCAGCUCUCCUGCAUUGCAGGCAGAUUCUGCACCCUCUGAGCCACAAUGGAUGCCAACAUUAUAAAUAAAUGACACUUCAAUGUGAAAAAUUUUUUUAAAUGUGAAUCUCAUUCAGAAACACUCUAUACCAGACACACGUAGAAUCAUGUUUUACCAAAUAUCUGGGCACUUUGUGGGCCCAUCAAGACACAGA
ensembl:lncRNA